ACAAAAAAUGGGUUCCGUUGCAAAGGUGGAAUAGUACUUACAUUAGCGAGCUAAUGAUUUAAAUGCGGAAUUUGAGCUAAUGCCUCACUUCACUACCUUAUGUUGAAGCCAGCCUCCUCACUGUCCGUCGUGCCUGCACCCUCCAGAACUAAAGUGCAUGCCUUAUUUGCUUCUUUAAUGAGGUCUGGAUGAUCUUUUGAACUGCCUUGAUGUUAACGGAUUCUGUUGUGACUUAUGAGAAGGAGUCCAUGUGAUAUCUCUACACGUUGUCCGCUAAUGAGCCUUUCUUGUCCAUAGUGUCCACUAAUGAGCCUUUCUUGUCCAUAGUGUCCACUACUGAGCCUUUUGCGGUAAGCAAUUACUUACAAGGUAGUAUUAGUUUUGCAGUGUGCUUGUGUCUCUUAAGCAUUUAUUAUGGACUGACUUGACUACUUUGUCAAUGAUUAUGGUUGUAUGGCCAUAGUGGGUUCUUUAAAGGAAUUUCGCUUCCCAUACAUAUUACUGUAUAAUAACUUGCACGUAUAGUGUCAUAUCUAGUUGCAAGCCUUGCGAAUGUCUUCCAAUCACUGCAGGAUGCCAGGGAGGAAGUCAUACAGGCAUGGGACAUGGAUGAUAGCAACGAGGACCAGAGGCUUCCCCAGAGUGAGCUGAAUGAAUUUGUGUCACUUGACAAACUUGCCUGUAUAA